GGCCUUGGUCCCCAGGGACAACUUCCCUAACACAGGGAUUCCCCAGAAGUCCAGGGUCAGAGGCAGACAUGACUUCUGGUCUGGACCAAUGACACAGAGCACCAAGAGAGCCAGGAGCCAGGAUGGAAGGGGUGUGGCCAGCAAUGGAGAGUAGGCAGCAGGCACGAAAUGGGGAACCAGGAUAGGGAGACCAGCAGCAAGAAGCACGCACCCCCUGGGGAAACUCGCAGACUAAAGUAUCACAGAGCAGGCCCAGUUCAUGAGUACCAGAGGCCCAGGACCCCAAGGACACUGACUGCCUGAGUGUACCCAAGUAUCCCUGUCCCAAGCCUCAGGAGCCACAUAGUGCCCCUAGGACUCUGUAGGGUGAUCUGACUGGAAACAGCUCUGCCAGCCCAGCUGAGGGGACCAACCAUGCCCUGGCGAAACACCUGCAGAAAGAACCCUGCACCAUGUGACAUGCCCAGUGUCCAGGCCAACAGAGCUCCACGUGGCGAAAGACCGAACAAGGGUGCCAGUCCCCAGCUCCCUACAGCAGAGGCUGCCUGCCUGGGACAGAACAGGAUACAGCGGGACACAGGCCACAGUUAGCUCAAGAGUUCUACAUACUGGUCCUCAAGUUGCCCUAGGAUCUUCUGAUUGACGGGUCCGGCUCAUGACCCCAGCCAAUUUGCCCCACUCUGUCUGUACAUAGAUAGAGGAAAAGAAUCAUACAAUUAACUACUUCAAGGUGAGAGAUAUUUUGUGUAAUACCAAACAUCAAGAUGCAAUAACAAAAAUGUUUAAAAUGAAGAGUUA
rnacentral:lncRNA from 1 species